AAUCCGAGAAUUUCACCUCUAACGCCGCAAUACGAAUGCCCCCGUCUGUCCCUCUUAAUCAUUAUCUCGAGCUCCUAAAACCAACAAAAUAGAACCGAGAUCCUAUUCCAUUAUUCCAUGCACCACUAUUCGGGCCGAAACGCCUGUUUUGAGCACUCUAAUUUUUUCAAAGUAAACCUGCUAGCCACCCAAGGCACUCAGUCAAGAGGACCAUGGGAAGACCAGCGAAUAGUAUCCUCGGAAUCCAGUACAUGUCAAGCAGACAGACCGAACCCUCGGAAAAGAUCCAACUACGAGCUUUUUAACAGCAGCAGAAUUGGUAUAUGCUAUUGGAGCUGGAAUUACCGCGC
rnacentral:misc_RNA from 1 species